AAAUGUGCUCAUCACGAGUUUUGUUUUCAGCUGGCUUUGAUUUUUUAUCUCAGAUUACGAGUUUUGUCUGUAUUGAAUCGGGGGUUUUAAUUUGUAUUAUGGUUUGAGAGGGAUGCUUAGAUUGCUGAACCCCAUGUAGUUAAAUAGUGAGAUCAAAACUUAAUUCAUGUUCAAUCCCAAGCAGAGUUACAAAACUGCAUGGUAAGAAAAUACUUACUGAUGAGUUGAAUCAAGUGGGUGAUAGCUGAAGAUUCAUAAAAAAAAAAAAGCAACCGUCUGUGGAUAAAGGCAUUCAUACCAUAGAAGUUAUAGAGAAACUCUCAGCAAUGAACAAGCCCUCAAUUGGAGAUAAUUCACAAUUGCGACGGUGUCAUGUGAUGGACCUCUAAUAAGUAAAUUCACAUGCCCCUUUGUCAGUCUCCAGAAGACACAUAGGCAUCGGAAGAAAUGGCUCAAUACCAUAGAGGUUAACCUGUCUCUGCCGAUUAAUUUUAGUGGUGGGUUUACACGUUCACAAAAGAAUGAUAAGAAAUCUGAAUAGUAGUAAAUGUUCGUACAUAUGCUUUUGAUUAUUGACUGGCUGAAUAUAAGAAAAUGUAUUACAUUUUCAGGGCUCUAAAUGUUUACUUCAACAACCUUACCGAAGUCAACCUUGAUUUGGAGCUGACAAGAAGGUGGAGAAUAACUUCCAGUAGCUGUGGCCGUGAAGUCGCAUUACUUGGUUGUUACAAUGCGAGUUGCAAGAAUACAUAUGCAAAACUGAUGCCAGGAUGUAGAUGGGACAAUAUGCAUCCUAUAAGUUUCCCUGUGAAGAGACUAAUCCAAAAGAAGAAAAAUGCAAGCGUAUUCCCACUAAAUGGUAUUGUCAUUUUCAUUUGUUGGUAGGAAUUAUGAGGAGAUUCUUUUUUUUUUUAAAUACAGUACUUACAAUAACUUUAUCUAUCUAUGUAUCUUCUCUAGGCCACUAACACUCUCUACCUAAUGAAGUAUUCUAACAUCAUUGAGCAAGCAUUUUCACGGAUUACCCAUGAAAUUGGUUCUAUGUUGUUCAGGACUUACCGAUGAAUGAGUAUGUAUACUUCUUUUUACCCUUUUGUUUCAUGAAAACCUUGACUUUGAAAAACAAAUUACAUGCAUGGAUGGCUUUGGGUUACAUGGUGUGAUUUCGGAAUUUUCUGAACUGUCUGGAGUUACCAGCCAAUAACACAAAUCAUUGGCACGACCCAAUGAAAAUGGAGUCUGCAAAAGAACCCUCAAGUUCAUGAUGGGGGUCUUGGAGGGGAAAUGGAUUCUAAGCAUAUAUUGUAAGUAUUAUAAUUCUAUCAGGAAGAAAACAUGUGUGGUGCGGUUGAUGAAAUCAAAAAUUGGUCAAACUGUAUGUAUAUCUUUUCUUUCAGGGAUCAAGGCAUGCAUGAAAAACACAAAAUGUGUAACCCAGCCAUAUAGAUUUCCAUAGAUGUUUAUGCAACGCGACAAAUACCUUAUAUUGGAAGACAGAGCUUUGAACAAGGAUAGCUUCGUUUCUCUCUCUCUCUCU